rnacentral:misc_RNA from 1 species
GGUUCACAGCGAAUACUCUGUGCAUCAUUCAACACAAUGUCAUCAUUAUCACUUGUUUACUACAUCANGUAGAGCUUAGAAUGAAUAGCGUACUACCGUCUGUGUGGCUGANGACAAUCAAGGCUAGCAACCAAUGGACCUGAAUGGAUUUUUCCGCCAUCGAAACGGUUUGCAUUGAAGGCAGCUUAUGCACUGGCGCAUUGAAAAAAAUGCUUGAUGACUUUUUAGCUCCAUAAAUGGUAAGCCACUUGAACUUAAUUUUCAUAGAAAUUUUCCAUGAAUAUUUUAACUAAAAAUCAUAAACAAUGAUUUUAGUACAUUUUUGUACGUAAACUUUGUACACGUAUGCCAAAUUUGCCCGAGGUUCGGAAACCAGGGCUUGACAAGUCAAGUUUUUGUGACGUAAAGAGGUAUUUAGUGGCUAGUCGAAGUGAGUAUGUCUGUGCAUACCGGGAAAGUCAGGUCAACGAUGCUCAACCAUAAAGCCAUUAGUACAUGUAUCUGAUAAACAUUCACAGAAACAACUGAUUUCCGUCACAAACCAUUGAGCAAAAUAGCCACAAAAAGCUAUCAAUACAAACCAUUCUGCAGCAAGGAUUCCAUGUGGAUAUAACAGAGCUUAAUACGGUGAAAUAAUUGGAUCAAACUGCGAGUUAAAUACCGUUGAUCGAUAGUCCUUCCCGAAACAACUACGAAUGAAAAAACUGGGAUAAUCAUACCAAGCUAAGCCGUCUUGGCCGUGCUCCGCCCAGCCACGUGACAAGCCGACUCUAAAAUUAAAGCUCACNGGAGUUCAAAACUAAAAGAGGUCAAGAAAUAGUACAACUUCGUUUCCUUAUUGGUUGUCGAGUAACACAGACGUGAUCUUAUUGACUUUAAUACGAACAAAAGUAAAAUCAAUUUGAAAAGUUUCUAGUGCUUUUUUAGGGAGGUAUU